AUUGAACGCUGGCGGCAGGCCUAACACAUGCAAGUCGAACGGUAGCACAGAGGAGCUCGCUCCUUGGGUGACGAGUGGCGGACGGGUGAGUAAUGUCUGGGAAACUGCCCGAUGGAGGGGGAUAACUACUGGAAACGGUAGCUAAUACCGCAUAACGUCUUCGGACCAAAGUGGGGGACCUUCGGGCCUCACACCAUCGGAUGUGCCCAGAUGGGAUUAGCUAGUAGGUGGGGUAAUGGCUCACCUAGGCGACGAUCCCUAGCUGGUCUGAGAGGAUGACCAGCCACACUGGAACUGAGACACGGUCCAGACUCCUACGGGAGGCAGCAGUGGGGAAUAUUGCACAAUGGGCGCAAGCCUGAUGCAGCCAUGCCGCGUGUAUGAAGAAGGCCUUCGGGUUGUAAAGUACUUUCAGCGGGGAGGAAGGCGUUAAGGUUAAUAACCUUGGCGAUUGACGUUACCCGCAGAAGAAGCACCGGCUAACUCCGUGCCAGCCGCCGCUGUAA
rnacentral:rRNA from 1 species